UUUCACUUGCGUUAGCUUCAAGCGAGACACUUCGCUAUAAUUACUCACCGAGGCCUUUCGCUCGUCCUCAGAUUCAAAUCGCGAGAAAAAUGUUUGUCAGUUUUGUUAAUCAGAGCAUGAAGUUUCUGCUGAAUGGAGCUUCUAAUUCUUUGAAAACGCUGUCGACAAAGUUAGGGUUUCGAUAGGUUAUAGAAGGUUGGAAACAUUGAUUUCCGAAUCUAGGGUUCGAAAACGAGUCCGAUUCAAAUUGCGAAAAGGGGAAGAGGAACGACGAAUGAAGACUUGAAGCUACGAAUGGACGGGCAGUGACUGAAAUAGAAGCAGAAAUGAUACUCGAGGCUCAGGAGAAAGAAAAGGUGGAGGUCAAAUUUAACCCUAACUUCAAGUUCGACAAGUUGGGCGAGUUUCUUAUCAAAAACCAGCUCUACUCAGAAUUUCUGCUUAAAAAAAUGGAUGACAUCACCACCAACAAUGUAGUGAAUAAAGUUGAAGAAGAAACGAUAUUUCCGAUGUAGAAGAUUCUUCUAAAGAGAAGCAGGGCUAAAGAGGGAGGCUGUUAAGAGUGCUUCAAAAUUCAGCAAUUCGAAGAUGCAUGUGGUUGAUUGUUUAGAGAAAAGCGAUGACUGUCAUUGCUGCUAUGCAAACAGAGAUGACCGUAUGCAUGUCCAAAUCAGCUUAUUGAAAAGUUAAUCUACUGUAGGCAUAUUUUCAGUAUCAGAGACCAUUCGACUGGAUUGGACCAAGGGCGGACUUUAUUCCUGGCAUUGAUUUAGUAAUGUGUACUCGAAGGUCUCUGGAGAACCAGCUUUGAAGGUUCCAACAGUACAUGCCAGCUCCAGGAUCUUUAUGGAAAUAGAAUAUGAUUAUAGCUCUACUUUCUACUCUCUCCAACUGGUUUAAUGAUUUCUAAAGGUUUGUUCUCUCCAAUUGUACUAUCACAUAUCAUAGAACUGAGGAAGAAAGCACAAAGACAAGAAAAAAGUUCAUGUGUAUGCUAAUCAUAGAACUAAGCAAGUAUGUUCUAGUGGAUGAGGGCCAUCGCUUGAAAUAUGCACCCUCUUAGUAAGGGAAUUAAAACGCUUACCAAUGGAAAAUAACCUUCUUUUGACUGACCCUGCUGUUUGUUCUCUCCAAUUGUACUAUCACAUAUCAUAGAACUGAGGAAGAAAGCACAAAGACAAGAAAAAAGUUCAUGUGUACGCUAAUCAUAGAACUAAACAAGUAUGUUCUAGUGGAUGAGUUUUGAUUUUUCGAGGAGGGCCAACGGUGACUUAGAGCAGGAAAAUGUUUGCAUUAAGAGAAGGGUUGAGGUAAACUGCAACGAGGGUAUGGACUGAUGCGGCAAAUGUGAUGUUAAGGGUAUGUACGUCCGCGUACUGCAGAAGUUCUCACGGUGUUCGUAGGUACAGGAGGAGGGACUAGUGUAAAGUUGGCAACAGCCCGUCCAGUGUUGUGCCAUUGACAUCAGAGACUAUUGAUCAGGUUGUACUUGAUGGAAAUAAAGACUUGUGAACUUGUAUGCACUAUGGUGUGGUCAUUGCAAAAAUCUUGCUCAACCUUUCGAAGGUAUCCAAUGCUUUAAACUGGAAGAGGAUGUUGUAAUAACUAACCUUGAUGCGGAUAAUUACAAGAAUUUGGCUAAGAAGUUAGUUGGAAAGGCACAAGUCAUUGUUGCAGAACCUAGAGUUUGUUUACGAUUAUAUUGAAUUAUGUCGAUCAUUAUGUGAGCAGAACUAACAUUUGGCUAUUCAUCUCAUAAUAUGGAUUUUCUUUCGUCCAUGAUUUGCAACUUGUGAAUUUCUUUUUCCAACAGUAUCAAAUCUAUUUGUUUUAGUUUCUGGUUUGCGGGACAGGUUCUUUUAAUGCAUGAUCUCAUAAUAUUCUGAGCUAAAUAAGCUCUUUCUCUCUCUUUUUCCAAAUAUUGUAGCUAUCCUUGAUUUACUAGCAUAUCCAGUGAAUCUUACUUCUUUUUCAUCAUUCGGAUUUCAGAUCACAAUAUAAAGGCAUACACACACAAAUUACUCACAUACAAUUUACAUCAUUUAAAUUGCUUGGAAAAAUGAUAAUAAGGUCUCCCCUCUACUCAUUGACUGCGUAUGAAACAAGAUUAGGAGUAACUAGCUUAUAGCUUUUAAAAUUGUACGUCCUGCGUGUAACUUUUAAACUGCAACUGCUUGUAACUAUAAGUUGUCGUGUUAAAGUUAGAGGACAAAAGUUAAACUUAACUUGCUUGACUUAUGGACAGCAAAGCUGGUGAAGACUAUGAUAGCGGUCGAGCUGUCGAGAUGUAAAUGACUUGUUAUUUUCGUUAAUGAAAGACGUGGCACUAGUCAGGCUUUAGUGAAGGAAUUUACCAGUGCUGUUGAUGAUGAGAGGAAGGCAGUCCUUGCUUGAAUUGGAGAGGAGGAGAAACUCUUAAGGGUUUCUUCAGCAAGGUUUGGUUUUAUAAAAAAGUGGGGGAAUUAGAGUAUACUUCAGAUAUUAAAAGGUUAUCACUGCUCUUUUGUGUGAAGAAUACUGGAAAGUGGAGGACUACUAUGAACAAAUUAUAUAGAGAUCCGAAGUUUCUUACGGAUAUUGACCAAGAGAAUACUCCUUUUAUUCAUAGGGCAUCGUCAGCAGUAUUUGAAUCAAGGAAAGCUGAAUUAAUUGCCUUAAAUGCGGAGAAGACGUACGAGUUGAAUGAGCUCACUACCGAAUUACGAGAAUUAGAAGAGUGUAGUGCUAGAUGAAUAAAUAAAAACAAGGAGAAAGAUGAUAACGGAAAUGUAAAUGAAAAAAAAUAAAAGCAAAGUGGAUAAGGAAGCUAAUAAAUAUGAGAAGUUGGAAGAAAAUGAGGAAGACAUGAAGAUUUUAGAAGAUGCUCGAGAUGUUUCUCAAAAAGAGGAAGGUGAUAAUGAGAAUAAGAGAGAAAUCUCAUCUAUCAAACGGGCUGUCAGAAAGAGGAAAAGGAAGGAUGGACCCUUUGUUACUUCACCUUAUUUGCAUUUAGAUCAACCAAAAGAAGGCACCAAGAAGAAACGUGACAUCCAGAUAUUGGAUAGUACUGAGGGGACUACUAAAAAAAUUGCAAAAAUGAACAAGGCUUCAUUCCUACAUCUCUCGACUAUCCAAGUAAGGCACUGGUCUAUGAUUAUGAGGACAAAUUAAUAGUCAACUUUCUACAAUCGAAAAUGACCAGACAAAGCCCAACAGAGAGGAAGAUGACCGGAGGCGACGCGACGUUGACCGGAGAGAGAGGGAGAAAUAAAAUCAAACAGCUACCGCUCAAGAAGCAGAACCUGAAGCCAGCCCUCUCCACGAGCUUGGCACUGAGCGCAUCAAAGCAAGCAGGCCCCUGAUGAGCUCCUGGAGACUCCAAUAUCCUCCUCAGAGCCUUCGACGGUGAUUCUCCUGUUGCGGUGCAAGCAAACGAGGGUCUGUAGCAAUUUCUCUUAUAUUUUGGUGAAGGAGAGGAGAGAGAUGGCGUCGACCGAAGGUGCUGCUGGUGCGGGAGAUGGUGUCGACCGGAGGCGACGUUGAUCGGAGGCGGCGUUGGAAGGAGUCGUCGGAGGAGGUGAAAGAGAGAGGCACAGGAGUGACAGGAGGGAGAGUAGGCGGCUAGGGCAAAAGAGUCGGGAUUUGGGAAAUCUGAAGAGAUGGGUUUUGAAGAACGGGUUCAGGUCGGGUUUUUGAUGAAGUAUCCGCUGCUUUAUGAAAUACUGUAGCGGGUUUUAGCGCUUUUAAGCGCUUUUGUCCGCUAAACUCCGCUUUUUCGCGCAUUUCGAGCGCAUAGCGGUUUUCUCCGCUAAUCCUCCCCGCGAUCUCCUUAAGCGUCGCGCUGAAGGGCCGCGACCCGCUAUA